AGCAGCCGCGGUAAUUCCAGCUCCAAUAGCGUAUAUUAAAGUUGUUGCAGUUAAAAAGCUCGUAGUUGAAUUUCGGGAUUCUAUCGUUGGUCAGGCUAUUGUCUGUACUGGCGUGUAGAAUUUCUACCUUCUGGGGAACUAUCAUGUUAUUAAUUUAGCGUGGUAGGAAACCAGGACCUUUACCUUGAAAAAUUAGAGUGUUCAAAGCAGGCUUAUGUCUGAAUACAUUAGCAUGGAAUAAUAAAAUAGGACGGUGGUCCUGUUUUGUUGGUUUCUGAAUCACCGUAAUGAUUAAUAGGGAUAGUUGGGGGCAUUAGUAUUCAAUUGUCAGAGGUGAAAUUCUUGGAUUUAUUGAAGACUAACUACUGCGAAAGCAUUUGCCAAGGAUGUUUUCAUUAAUCAAGAACGAAAGUUAGGGGAUCGAAGACGAUCAGAUACCGUCGUAGUCUUAACCAUAAACUAUGCCGACUAGGGAUCGGACGAUGUUAACUUUUCUGACUCGUUCGG
rnacentral:rRNA from 1 species